UGAGGAAUUUUGCGCAAUGGGAGCAAUCCUGACGCAGCAACGCCGCGUGGGUGAUGAAGGCCUUCGGGUCGUAAAGCCCUGUCAGGUGGGAAGAAUGUCCCGGGACUGAACAGGUUCCGGGAGUGACGGUACCACCAGAGGAAGCACCGGCUAACUCCGUGCCAGCAGCCGCGUAAUACGGAGGGUGCAAGCGUUAUUCGGAAUUACUGGGCGUAAAGCGCGUGUAGGCGGUCCUGCAAGUCUGAUGUGAAAGCCCCGGGCUUAACCCGGGAAGUGCAUUGGAAACUGUGGGACUUGAGUACUGGAGAGGAUGGGGGAAUUCCCGGUGUAGAGGAGAAAUUCGUAGAGAUCGGGAGGAAUAUCAGUGGCGAAGGCGCCCAUCUGGACGGUAACUGACGCUGAGACGCGAAAGCGUGGGGAGCAAGCA
rnacentral:rRNA from 1 species